rnacentral:rRNA from 1 species
GACGAACCGUGCGAACGUUGUUCGGAAUCACUGGGCUUAAAGGGCGCGUAGGCGGGCUCUCAAGUCAGGGGUGAAAGCCCGCAGCUUAACUGCGGAAGCGCCUUUGAUACUGGGGGCCUCGAGGGGGGUAGGGGCGUGCGGAACUUCCGGUGGAGCGGUGAAAUGCGCAGAUAUCAGGAGGAACACCGAUGGCGAAGGCAGCUCGCUGGGACGGUACUGACGCUGAGGCGCGAAAGCGUGGGGAUCGAACAGG